UACGAAGGGUGCAAACGUUGCUCGGAAUCAUUGGGCGUAAAGCGCACGUAGGCGGCUUCGCAAGUCGGAUGUGAAAUCCCUUGGCUCAACCAAGGACGUGCAUCCGAAACUGCGAGGCUUGAGUACAGAAGAGGAUCGCGGAAUUCCCGGUGUAGAGGUGAAAUUCGUAGAUAUCGGGAGGAACACCAGUGGCGAAGGCGGCGAUCUGGGCUGAUACUGACGCUGAGGUGCGAAAGCGUGGGGAGCAAACAGG
rnacentral:rRNA from 1 species